rnacentral:rRNA from 1 species
GACGUAGGGCGCGAGCGUUGUCCGGAUUUAUUGGGCGUAAAGAGCUCGUAGGCGGCUUGUCGCGUCGUCCGUGAAAACCUGCGGCUCAACUGCAGGCUGGCGGUCGAUACGGGCAGGGCUGGGAGUUUCGGGUAGGGGGAGACUGGAAUUCUUGGUGUAGCGGUGAAAUGCGCAGAUAUCAGGAGGAACACCGGUGGCGAAGGCGGGUCUCUGGGCCGAUGACUGACGCUGAGGAGCGAAAGCGUGGGGAGCGAACAGG